rnacentral:misc_RNA from 1 species
UUUCCGUAGGUGAACCUGCGGAAGGAUCAUUACUGAGACCGGGUCCUGUCAUUCAGGCCCGACCUUCAACCCUAUGUUUAAAGACCUUGUUUCUUUGGCGGUUAAAUCGCCAGAAGCAAUCUGAAAUUCUUUAUCAAUGUAUCUUCUGAAUAAAAUAUAUAAAAUCAAAUAUAUAAAAUUAAAUAAAUAAAACUUUCAACAACGGAUCUCUUGGUUCUG